UGAUGGCUCCAUGCAAGAAGCCCUUGGAAAAAUUAUACCAGCAAUGACACAGUUUGCAAAGAUACCGAGUUAAAAUUUGUUGUAGAUUACAGUUUGUUGUCUCAGUCCAGGUAAAGCAGUGUCUCAAAUAGAUUAACUCACAGUCCAGGUAAAUCACAGUCCAGGUAAGUUCUGCAGGCAGCUAGCUUAAAUCACAGUCCAGGUAAGUUCUGCAGGCAGCUAGCUUAAAUCACAGUCCAGGUAAGUUCUGCAGGCAGCUAGCCUAAUCUGUAGCAGCAGAAACAGCAACAGCUCCGAAGUCUCGUCCAUUUCUCAGCCGAAGUUUCGUCCGGUUUUCAGCAACACUGGAAAUUCUUC
rnacentral:lncRNA from 1 species